rnacentral:rRNA from 1 species
AGGGAGUAUUCGGCAAUGGAGGGAACUCUGACCGAGCAACGCCGCGUGAAUGACGAAGGUCUUCGGAUUGUAAAAUUCUGUUAUAUGGGAAGAAAGAUAUGAUAAGGAAAUGGAUUAUAUUUGACCGUACCAUAUGAGAAAGCCACGGCUAACUACGUGCCAGCAGCCGCGGUAAUACGUAGGCGGCAAGCGUUAUCCGGAAUUAUUGGGCGUAAAGAGAGAGCAGGCGGUUAUUCAAGUCUGAAGUGAAAAGCAGUGGCUUAACCAUUGUAGGCUUUGGAAACUAGAUAGCUAGAGUGCAAGAGAGGUUAGCGGAACUCCAUGUGUAGCGGUGAAAUGCGUAGAUAUAUGGAAGAACACCAGUGGCGAAGGCGGCUAACUAGCUUGAAACUGACGCUCAGUCUCGAAAGCGUGGGUAGCAAAUAGGAUUAGAUACCCUAGUAGUCCACGCUGUAAACGAUGAGUACUAGGUGUUGGGGAAACUCAGCGCCGAAGUUAACACAAUAAGUACUCCGCCUGGGUAGUACGUUCGCAAGAAUGAAACUUAAAGGAAUUGACGGGGGCCCGCACAAGCAGUGGAGCAUGUGGUUUAAUUCGACGCUACGCGAAGAACCUUACCAGGACUUGACAUCUGAUUAAAGGCUCUAGAGAUAGAGAGAUAGUUAUAGUCAAGACAGGUGGUGCAUGGUUGUCGUCAGCUCGUGUCGUGAGAUGUUGGGUUAAGUCCCGCAACGAGCGCAACCCUCGUCCUUAGUUGCCAGCAGUAAGAUGGGAACUCUAAGGAGACCGCCGGUAUAAGCCGGAGGAAGAUGGGGAUGACGUCAAAUCAUCAUGCCCUUUAUGUCCUGGGCGACACACGUGCUACAAUGGCCGGUACAAAGAGAAGCAAGACCGCGAGGUGGAGCGAAUCUCAUAAAGCCGGUCUCAGUUCGGAUUGGAGUCUGCAACUCGACUCCAUGAAGUUGGAAUUGCUAGUAAUCGCGAAUCAGCCAUGUCGCGGUGAAUACGUUCCCG